UCAACUCAGCAGAAGGAGUCCGAACUGAGGAACUCGAGAAGCUGCCACAUCUGCCUGAAGAAACAAGCAGAGAAGAAUGCAGCAUGCACAGUCAACUCAGCAGAAAGAGUCUGAGAUGAAGAACUCGAGAAGAUGCUGCAUCUGCCUGAGGACGGUGAACUUGUUUUGACCCUCAAAUUCUUGGGUCGGCUUACUAGGCGUUGUGAGCUGCACAUGCCGAUUCACCACCCUUAAAUCGAAUCCUUAAAGAUCAAGUCACCAACUGGAAGAAGAGUUCAUCAAUC
rnacentral:lncRNA from 1 species